rnacentral:rRNA from 1 species
UGGGGUGCUCGAGUGGCGAACGGGUGAGUAACACGUGAGUAACCUGCCCUUGACUUUGGGAUAACUUCAGGAAACUGGGGCUAAUACCGGAUAGGAGCUCCUGCUGCAUGGUGGGGGUUGGAAAGUUUCGGCGGUUGGGGAUGGACUCGCGGCUUAUCAGCUUGUUGGCGGGUAGUGGCUUACCAAGGCUUUGACGGGUAGCCGGCCUGAGAGGGUGACCGGCCACAUUGGGACUGAGAUACGGCCCAG